CUAAUGGUCAAGAAUAUCACCCGCCAAGUCCACCUGAAAAAUCAAGAGAAGAAAUUAAAUUUUAAAAAUACUCCGGCGGAGUUGCCACUGCUUCAGGUACUGCCCGUGAUUAUGGAUUUUAGGAGCUCCGAUAUCAGUUCCUGGAAGGAGGCCCUCUCUUCUUAUCCUGCUCGCAUAGAAUCUCUCAACAAACCCAAUCUCGUUUCUCUCGACCAAUUCUACCGAAUCCAACUUCCCUCUCUCCUUCAUCAGCGAAACCCUAAGCCGUACAUAACCACUCUUGAGCUCUCCAAGCUCAUGCAAUGGAAGCUUUCCCGUGGAAAAUGGAGGCUAUGGAAGCAGCUCUGGGUACAUCAAAAGAUUAUACGUUGAAGCAGUAUCUUCUAUUCACGGAUAAGCUACUAAGUAAAUCUAAGGAAUUAAGUUCAAACGGGGAGUACUUCACAGUAUCAGAUGUAGAAAGGGCCUUGUGGAGUUCUGCUGUGUGGUCCAAGUUGGUAGUUUCAAAACCGGAUCCAAACUCGAAGACUAAUACAAGCAGAGACAGCAAGAGAAAAAGAAAACGUUGAAUAUGCUGUGACUUUCACUGAUACUUGUAAGAUUAUUGUCUUUAAAUUAUAGAUGUCCGUAAGACUUAUUUUUCAUCUCAUGAAUGUUGACCCUCUUUUAAAUUUUUAUUUGCCC
rnacentral:misc_RNA from 1 species